rnacentral:rRNA from 1 species
GACGAACGCUGGCGGCGUGCCUAAUACAUGCAAGUAGAACGCUGAAGGAGGAGCUUUCUUCUCUGGAUGAGUUGCGAACGGGUGAGUAACGCGUAGGUAACCUGCCUGUUAGCGGGGGAUAACUAUUGGAAACGAUAGCUAAUACCGCAUAAGAGUAGAUGUUGCAUGACAUUUGCUUGAAAGGUGCAAUUGUAUCACUACCAGUUGGACCUGCGUUGUAUUAUCUAGUUGGUGGGGUAACGGCUUACCAAGGCGACGAUGCAUAGCCGAACUGAGAGGGGGAUCGGCCAACCUGGGAAUGAGACCCGGCCCAGACUCCUAAGGGAGGCAGCAGGAGGGAAUCUUCGGGAAUGGACGGAAGGCUGAACGAGAAACGCCGAGUGAGGGAAGAAGGUUGUCGGAUCGUAAAGAUCUGUUGUAAGAGAAGGAAGAGGGUGAGAGUGGAAAGUUCACACUGUGACGGUAUCUUAUCAGAAAGGGACGGCUAACUACGUG